UACGGGGGGAGCAAGCGUUGUUCGGAUUUACUGGGCGUAAAGGGCGCGUAGGCGGUCAGCACAAGUCAGUUGUGAAAUCUCCGGGCUUAACUCGGAAAGGUCAACUGAUACUGUGCGACUAGAGUGCAGAAGGGGCAACUGGAAUUCUCGGUGUAGCGGUGAAAUGCGUAGAUAUCGAGAGGAACACCGGUGGCGAAGGCGGCUUCCUGGACCGACACUGACGCUGAGGCGCGAAAGCUAGGGGAGCAAACGGG
rnacentral:rRNA from 1 species